UACGGAGGGUGCUAGCGUUGUUCGGAAUCACUGGGCGUAAAGGGCGUGUAGGCGGUCUGUUAAGUCUGAUGUGAAAUCCCCUCGCUCAACGAGGGAACUGCGUCGGAUACUAGCAGACUUGAGUACCGGAGAGGAAGGUGGAAUUCCCGGUGUAGCGGUGAAAUGCGUAGAUAUUCGGAAGAACACCAGUGGCGAAGGCGACUCACUGGACAUGUAUUGACGCUGAGGUACGAAAGCGUGGGGAGCAAACAGG
rnacentral:rRNA from 1 species